AUACGGAGGGUGCAAGCGUUAAUCGGAAUUACGGGGCGUAAAGCGCGCGUAGGCGGUUUGAUCAGUCGGAUGUGAAAGCCCUGGGCUCAACCUGGGAACUGCAUUCGAUACUGUCAGACUAGAAUAUGGUAGAGGGUGGUGGAAUUCCUGGUGUAGCGGUGAAAUGCGUAGAUAUCAGGAGGAACAUCAGUGGCGAAGGCGGCUACCUGGACCAAUAUUGACGCUGAGGUGCGAAAGCGUGGGGAGCAAACAGGAUUAGAAACCCUAGUAGUCC
rnacentral:rRNA from 1 species